rnacentral:rRNA from 1 species
GACGUAGGGCGCGAGCGUUGUCCGGAUUUAUUGGGCGUAAAGAGCUCGUAGGCGGCUCAUUGCGUCAACCGUGAAAACCAGCAGCUCAACUGUUGGCUUGCGGUUGAUACGGGUGGGCUGGAGUUCGGUAGGGGAGACUGGAAUUCCUGGUGUAGCGGUGAAAUGCGCAGAUAUCAGGAGGAACACCGGUGGCGAAGGCGGGUCUCUGGGCCGAUACUGACGCUGAGGAGCGAAAGCCAGGGGAGCGAACGGG